GGUGAUGCCCUUAGUAAUGGCGAAUGAAACGGGCCAAGUCCAGCACCGAACUGCUGACUCAUUGGGUCAUGCGGAAUGUGGUGUGUGAGACCGUCUCAUCUCGAUCAGAUAUUCAGCUCAAGUUUGCCUUGACUGGGACCAUUGCCCACAGAGGGUGAUAGGCCCGUACGGCGUCUGUCUUUUCGAGCAGACACGUCUCUAGAGUCGAGUUGCUUGGGAGUGCAGCUCAAAGUGCGAGGUAAACUCCUCGUAAGACUAAAUAUCACCCCGAGACCGAUAGCGAACAAGUACCGUGAGGGAAAGUUGAAAAGAACUUUGAAGAGAGAGUUAAAGAGUACGUGAAACUGCAGAGUGGUAAACAGAGGCGUCCUCGAAGUUUGAAACAAAGGUCCAUGUCGUCGGCUUGCUCGUCGGCUGUACCCCUUUGUUUUUGAACACGACGGCUUGUUGUUGGCUAAUCUGUGAGAUGCGAAUGACGUUGGUUUCGUCCUCGUGAUGUGCCAGCUUCGCGAAUCUUGGUCUGCCGGCGACAGGUGUGACAUUGUCGAUCAAUGUCGGAACGUUGUGAGUAGGUUGUUGGCGUCUCUGACCCGUCUUGAAACACGGACCAAGGAGUCUAACAUGUGUGCAAGUCGCAGAGUUUAAAACUCAUGGGCGAAGUGAAAGCAAAGAGUGCUGUUCGGUACUCGAGGGGUGAUCGGUUGCACUCGUGGCGGCCGCGCAACCCCGGCGUUUUGCAAUGACCUCGUUCAUGCAGAACAGCAAGAGCAUACAUGUUGGGA
rnacentral:rRNA from 1 species